AACGCUAUACCAGACCAUAAUGGAUGCCAGCAAAGGUCAUUGAUGACUUUAUUAGCCACGUGCUGUUCGUCGUGAAAGCUCAAGUGUUCCUCAUAACUUACAGAUUGAAAAAAAACUAACUUGAUCGCACACAUAGUCACUGAAACGAUGAAGGAAGCUCCUCAAAGAUUCUACUUUAUCUGGCGUAAAUUUCGAUAUAUCCGGAGACUUAUAUUCAUAUUUGUACUGAACCCAACAAUUUUUUACGUGGAAUAUUUUCAAAGAUUUGACGGUAAGGGAGAAGUUCGAUGUAUCCAUCUCUAACAUCGUCUACUUUUCUGUCUUCGAAUUGGAAUGAUGCAUUGAAUAUAUCUGCUGUUCCUAUUACCUAAAAUGAACCGAUGAUGUACGCAAUACACUAUCAUCCAAAAGUGAACAUUUACUUAUUUUUAAUGUAAUAUAAUUGCAAAAUUAUCAAAAAGAAUAUU